rnacentral:rRNA from 1 species
UACGUAGGUGGCAAGCGUUGUCCGGAUUUACUGGGCGUAAAGAGCGCGCAGGCGGUCGUGCAAGUCGCGUGUGAAAGCCCCCGGCUCAACUGGGGAGGGUCACGCGAUACUGCUCGACUCGAAGGCAGGAGAGGGAAGUGGAAUUCCCGGUGCAGUGGUGAAAUGCGUAGAUAUCGGGAAGAACACCCGUGGCGAAGGCGGUUCUCUGGGACGGUACUGACGCUGAGACGCGAAAGCGUGGGGAGCGAACAGG